UCCGCACGCGAGUGGCCGGGAGUGACCGACCGGGGGCGGGACCAAGGGGCAGCGCGGGGAUCCUUGCGUCCCGCGGCUCUAAAACGCCCGGAAACCUGGAAUUGUGGAAAAAUUCGGCCUUUCUCUUCCCUUCCGUAGAUGACAGUACGCGAAACUGGGAAAAUGAGUAAAUUUAUGUAGUUGGCCAUCAUUAUCAAAAUGCAGUUUUAGAACAUUUCCAUCAGCCCGGUUUAUAGCAUCUCCUUUCUGCUCGAUAACCUGACUGGCUUCAUUCAGCAGGAAGUCCACAUGGAUCAGAGGGCCCACAGGAACUCAUGUCCCUCCUCCUCCCUUCCCACCGGCCAGCUCUGUGCCCCAUCUCUUACUAGUGAACCACCCUCUCCUGCUUCUAGCCAUGUGGGCCUCGUGCUGCUCCUCAGCCACACUCUUUUUGUCCCACCUCAAGCCUUUCCCGUGGCUGUGUGCUCUGCCUGGACAGCCCCUCCCACAGACACACUCAACUCCACGACUUCUCCUUGAAGAUGUCUGUGAUGUUGUGAUUUAUAAUAAGAAAUACAUAUUUCAGGGGCACCUGGGUGGUUCGGCUGAGCGUCUGCCUUCU